ACAACAAUGACGCAACCUCAGUCGUCGAGAGGUGCUCAGUGGAGGAGGUUAUGCCGCUGGUGCUCCGCGGUGGUCCAUAUCCGUAACUAGUCUCAGCACUGCCAAAGGGCCCAGGAGGAGUGUGCGAGGGGAUGUGCUGCUCUCUAUGGCUUGCUGGGAGGCAUGUUCUUGUUGGCGGCCGCCUCGUCGGCCAGCUUCUGCCACUGCUGCCGGUUGUGCCGCACGCCGUCCAGGAGCGGCCCAAGGUCGGGGGUCAUCUCCGCGAAGGCCUGAGAAGAUUACAAAGAUGUUGCUUUUCAAGUCCAUGUUGUGGAUCCUGACGCCUAAGCUUUGUCACAUGAACUCAAGGCCGUGACAUCUAAGCAUCAGUAAGCUGUGUUACCUGCUUCUGUAUGGGCCAGGGCUUGGUGAUGGCGGCGAUGUCACAAAUGGUCAUCAUCAUGCCGCGCACCUGCUCCCGCACCUCCUCGUGGCUCAGCUCAUAAUCCUGCGUCUUGACCAUGUUGAAGAACCCGCCACGCUUCCUGUGGGGGGGAGACGGGGGUGGUAAACAGCGUCCUUUUGGAAGUGUUAUCUUGAUACAGAAAUUAUAAGAACUUUGCCUGCUGCCUU